UACGUAGGGUGCAAGCGUUGUCCGGAAUUAUUGGGCGUAAAGAGCUCGUAGGCGGCCUGUCGCGUCGGCUGUGAAAACCCGGGGCUCAACCCCGGGCCUGCAGUCGAUACGGGCAGGCUAGAGUCCGGUAGGGGAGACUGGAAUUCCUGGUGUAGCGGUGAAAUGCGCAGAUAUCAGGAGGAACACCGGUGGCGAAGGCGGCAUCCUGGACCGGUAUUGACGCUGAGGCGCGAAAGCUAGGGGAGCAAACGGG
rnacentral:rRNA from 1 species